CCCAGCACCCAGCACUUUGGGAGCCACUAGAGGGGAAGAUCGACUCUCAGGGUCAGCAAGAGUCUGAAACCGCGCUGUCGGGCAGCAGGAGGCCCUGAAGAGCAAACGCACUGGUGCUGAUGGGGCGGUCACUCACCCAGGUGUACUCCGGCUCCGCAUUCCUGUCCCUCGCUUCACAACCACACAUCAUCUUCACAUUGGCUGGUGCGGAAGAGUUUUCAAGGUGCGGUUAUAGACGACUGUCCUAGGCCUGUAUAUAUAGUCAACACUGGCUUUAACCAAUGGCUCCAGGAGGUAUAUGACGUAAGAGAAAGAGCUUGCGAACAACAGUCCGUUGUGUGAAACCAACUCCAGUGACUCCAUCUCCGGCUAAACAUCGGGCCAAGAUGGAUGAUAUCGUGGUGGUAGCUCAGGGCUCUCAGGCCUCAAGGAAUGUCAGCAAUGAUCCCGAUGUCAUCAAGCUGCAAGAGAUUCCAACCUUCCAGCCCCUUUUAAAAGUCUCUGCUGCCAAAGCUGCUACCCGGCGCUCACUGCACGUCCCUUGUUCUUCCUGCUUUUGCCAGUCUUGAAGGGCUCUUGAGUGGACAGACGUCCCCAACAAACGCAAGGCUGGAGAAGCUGGACUCUCAGCAGGUGCUGCAGCUCUGCCUCCGGUACCAAGACCACCUGCACCAGUGCGCAGAGGCCGUCGCUUUCGACCAGAAUGCUCUGGUCAAGCGAAUCAAAGAGGUAACAUGGCUGUGGGGGACUCCAUCCCAGACUCAGGGCAGUAGUAAGACAUGCUGGUGAAGAAUGUUCUCAGGUGAGAACAGCCUGGAAUUUGACUCCUGCUUCACAGCUGAGUUGGUCGGGCUUGUUUAACUUCUCUGCACGUGAGGAAUGGACCCCACAGUAGUCCAGCGUUGGGUGUAGGGAGACUGCUCCACGGCUGUUAGCUGUGUUAGUGUGCAGAGCCUUAUUGUCAUGAAUUUGCUCUAGUUAUACCUGUGCUCAGCUUUUUCUUGUGUAGCGGCUGUACUUUUCAUAGUAAACAUUUGCUUUGAAUGU
rnacentral:lncRNA from 1 species